ACGGGUGAGUAAUGCCUAGGAAUCUGCCUAGUAGUGGGGGACAACGUUUCGAAAGGAACGCUAAUACCGCAUACGUCCUACGGGAGAAAGUGGGGGAUCUUCGGACCUCACGCUAUUAGAUGAGCCUAGGUCGGAUUAGCUAGUUGGUAGGGUAAAGGCCUACCAAGGCGACGAUCCGUAACUGGUCUGAGAGGAUGAUCAGUCACACUGGAACUGAGACACGGUCCAGACUCCUACGGGAGGCAGCAGUGGGGAAUAUUGGACAAUGGGCGAAAGCCUGAUCCAGCCAUGCCGCGUGUGUGAAGAAGGCCUUCGGGUCGUAAAGCACUUUAAGUUGGGAGGAAGGGCUUACAGCGAAUACCUGUGAGUUUUGACGUUACCGACAGAAUAAGCACCGGCUAACUUCGUGCCAGCAGCCGCGGUAAUACGAAGGGUGCAAGCGUUAAUCGGAAUUACUGGGCGUAAAGCGCGCGUAGGUGGCUUGAUAAGUUGGAUGUGAAAUCCCCGGGCUCAACCUGGGAACUGCAUCCAAAACUGUCUGGCUAGAGUGUGGUAGAGGGUAGUGGAAUUUCCAGUGUAGCGGUG
rnacentral:rRNA from 1 species